UACGUAGGGUGCAAGCGUUGUCCGGAAUUAUUGGGCGUAAAGAGCUCGUAGGCGGUUUGUCGCGUCUGCUGUGAAAACUCGGGGCUUAACCCUGAGCCUGCAGUGGGUACGGGCAGACUAGAGUGUGGUAGGGGAGAUCGGAAUUCCUGGUGUAGCGGUGGAAUGCGCAGAUAUCAGGAGGAACACCGGUGGCGAAGGCGGAUCUCUGGGCCAUAACUGACGCUGAGGAGCGAAAGCGUGGGGAGCGAACAGG
rnacentral:rRNA from 1 species